UCGGUUAUGAAUACGCCUCGAAUUGUACCAGUUGAAGGAAUUCUUCUAUAAUUAAUUGUGCAGUACGGUUGAAUAAGUAAUGUAAAAUAAACGCUUAUAUUAAAGUUAUAGAACGGGUUUUUGUCUAGUGCCACUCAAUCCAGUGACACGAGUUUACAUAAAGCAAGUAACGCAACAAGUGACGAGUCUUCGUUAAGCAAGAACGUAACAACACUAAUUACUUCGAGCAAUUGAAGCCACAAUGGAAAUGCUUUAGGCGGACCUUGUAAAGCUUCGACUCUGUUUUAUUGUGGGAAUGGAAGAUAUUAGACAUUUUUGAAGAAAAAAAUUAGUCAUCAUUUGAAAUUCAUAUUGUGAGGUCGUCGGUGUGUUGCAGGAUCUGUUGUUUGGAUGUACAUUUACCUUAUACGUUUAUAAAUCGUGAAGUGUUGUAGAAUGCACAAGAUCCAUUGGCACUAACAGAGUAACCUUUAAUGAGUGGUCCUACGACAUAAUUGGAUGAUUAAAAUUAAGCACUUAGAUUAAACAUCCGGACUGCAAACACCUUGUAACAAGUUCAAAUAUUU